GCGCAUUUCAGAAUCUUCGGUCGCCAUCUUUUCUUGCUGCUGCGAUUCACAAGCACCGCCUCCAGAGGUUUCCACCCAUGUCAGGAACGGUUGCCUGUCACCCAAGACUGUGCCCCGCCCUCUUUCCCCCGACAGCGGUGCAGGAGCUGGUGGGGCAGCAGGCCUUAACCGGCCUCUGUGAGGCAGGGUAAUAAUGAGCGUAGGAAGGGCGGGCCUUACCCUAACGUGGAAACGUUUUAGGAAGAUCACUAACUACAAGCCAAACAGGGCAUGUCUGGUGAGUUGGAAACAUGGAGCAACAUCCUGCACAGCCUGCUGGAGGGCUUUGUAAAGAGAUGAGGCCACGAUGUCCUGAAGGACCAGCUGCCGUCUAAGGAGGAGCCAGUUGACAGUUUCAGGCCAGGCGAGUUUUCUCCAGUCCCUGUGAUGACCUGCCAGGCAUCUGCAAGCUCUGCCCCAGACACUGACCCCUAUGAUUACAACUUCCUCGUAAACUUCGGUCUCAAGUGCCUGCAGAGACUUGCCGUGGGUGUAUAUAAAAUUGUCACCAGGAGAGACUCUCCUGGAUCGGAACCUGUCUCCCCUGGACCUUUCCCUGCUGAGCACGAAUGAGAGAGAGAGCGCGGUGUGGAACUGGUGAUUGAAGUAUUCACAGAGGAUAGCAAGUGAGAGUGUUCACUCUUCCCUGCCCUGGACCUUAACCCUGGAAUCCUUGGACCCCUCUUCUCCUGACCCCACUGUACAUAUGUUUAUAGCACUGGUGUUGUGAAUAAAACCCACUUGGCUUUUGA